GGGUGAUUAGCUCAGCUGGGAGAGCACCUCCCUUACAAGGUGGUAGAGCAGUUGACUUUUAAUCAAUUGGUCGCAGGUUCGAAUCCUGCACGACCCACCA
rnacentral:tRNA from 1 species